rnacentral:lncRNA from 1 species
CAGGUGAAAUAGACAGCCAUGUUGCUCACACAAAGCCUGUUUGCUGGUCUCUUCACACUGACUCGAGUGAAAUUUGGUGCCGUGACUAGGAUCGGGGGACCUCCCUUGGGAGAUCAAUCCCCCGUCCUCCUACACUUUGCUCUGUGAGAAAGAUCCACCUACAACCUCAGGUCCUCAGACCAACCAGCCCAAGAAACAUCUCACCAAUUUCAAAUCCGGAGCUUGCUACAAGUGCCAGAAAUCUGACCACCAGGCCAAGGACUGCCGGCAGCCCAGGAUUCCUCCUAAGCCACGUCCCAUCUGUGUGGGACCCCACUGCAAAUCGGACUGUUCAACUCACCUGGCAGCCACUCCCAGAGCCCCUGGAACUCUGGCCCAAGGCUCUCUGACUGACUCCUUCCCAGAUCUUCUCGGCUUAGCGGCUGAAGACUGACACUGCCCGAUUGCCUCGGAAGCCCCCUAGACCAUCAUGGACGCCGAGCUUCAGGUAACUCUCACAGUGGAAGUGAUAGAUCACAACAAGAGAUCAUGAAGAGGGCAUGGCCGCCAUGUCAUUCUGGAGAGAGACAGAGUAAAACAAAGAAGCCUCUCUACAAGUCUCCUAACUUAACCUGAUGGGAAAACACUUCCUACCACUAACAGCAUCUACUUGAUUACUGAUACUUUGAUCAUGGAGUUUGGGCAUGCCACUUGAUAGAAAUUUGAAGAGCAAUUAUAUUUUUCAAAAAGAGUUUUGAAUAAUGUUAAGAUAGAUUGCAACAUGACUAUCAAUUCUUCCCUUCCCAUCAAAGGAGAGAGUCCGUUUAUCCAGCCUUUGAAUCUUGAUUAUUCAUGUGACUUGCUUCACCCAAUGUAACAUUAAUAAGCACAAUACAAGCAGAGGCUUGCCAAGAACUUGGUUUGUUUCUAAUGCUUAGAAGAAGAAUGGUGUAUGCCAUAUUUCUGCAUUUAGAACUCACGUGGAGACAUGUGUGGCCCAAUUGCUUCUCUUUCAUCUCAGGCAAUAACCAGACACGGGACUGAGGCCAUCCAUGACCAGCCAGCCCUAGCCAACACACAACACACAAGCUGAUCACAGAUGCAUGAGUAAGCCUGAGACCAGCCAAGACCAGCCUAGAAUAGAACUGCUCAGCAGCAAUAAAAACUAAAUAAAUUGUUACCUUAAGCUACUUUUAGAGCUAUUUGGAAGUGUAUUUUUGUGCAGCUAACAUUUACUAGCAGAUAAAAUGGUGAUUGUUUAUCUCUGUUUUAUUGAUGUUUUAAGGAAAUUGUUUCUAUUAAAAGGAAAUAUCUGGUCUUUGUCACGUUAAAUCA